CAGUCGCCACGGUAAUACGAAGGGGGCUAGCGUUGUUCGGAUUUACUGGGCGUAAAGCGUGCGUAGGUGGUGGUUUAAGUCCGUUGUGAAAGCCCUGGGCUCAACCUGGGAAUUGCAGUGGAUACUGGGUCACUAGAGUGUGGUAGAGGAUAGUGGAAUUUCCGGUGUAGCAGUGAAAUGCGUAGAGAUCGGAAGGAACAUCUGUGGCGAAGGCGACUAUCUGGGCCAACACUGACACUGAGGCACGAAAGCGUGGGGAGCAAACAGGAUUAGAUACCCCCGUAGUCCCUGUCUCUUAUAC
rnacentral:rRNA from 1 species